UUAUACUCUGUUAUGACGCGUUGCUCACAAGCGCGUGCUUCGGGGACUCGACGGAUAGGAUCCGCUAACAGACAAAUUAUAUCAUGGUUGGUAGUUUGAUCUGGACUCUAUCCGGAAACUAGUUUAAAGACUAGGAAUCUUGUAACUGUAAAAGAGGUGGACUCUUUCGAAACGCGGUAUAAGAAGGUCUCUUUCGAAACGCGGUAUAAGAAGGUCUCUUUCGAAACGCGGUAUAAGAAGGUCCCUACCCCACGGAAAAGCGCGGAGGAAUAGGGGGUAGACCACAACUUAUUUCUAACGUAUAGAGCAAUCCAUCACAUCAUGCAUGAGUGCACACACUAAACACUGCGAGUUACAGCACUCUUACCCCUCCUUGAUGGUUCCACGACCCAAUCUCGUCACUACUACCCAGUCCAGGCACUAUCAUUGUACUACUAGUCUCAAAAAUCCGCAGUACCAGUUGAAAGUAGCAGGAUAGUAUCUGCAACUUUAACAAACUAGCACUCUUAACGCACGAGCUGGAAACCUAAGCAACGGCAAGCACUGGUGCACGAGCAAGUAUAGUAACGCUGGAGAAGUUACCGUAGGGGAGAAGAGCGAAGGGAAGCCGAGGACAGCG
rnacentral:lncRNA from 1 species